AUGGCGGCAGCGGAGGCUAACCCUAACCCGAAGAGGGCGGCCCCGCUCCCUCAGGUCUUCCCCGGCAAGGAUUUCGUCGACAUUCCCUUGAAUGCCGACGAGGGCCCCGCCUGGUCGCUGCUCGUCGGCGUCAUGAGGGGCGCCCUACGCUUCCACCGUCUCCGCGUGGCGAGAUCGGGGCGGAUCUCCGGCCGGAGCAACGAGGUGCUGGAGAUCUUUCACGACCUCAAAAGCUCGCACGGGUGCAGCAGCUUGAGGGCCGACGCCGCCCUGGCUCCAGACGGCCGCUCCCUCUGCGUCGUGCAGCAGGAGGAGAACGAGCCAACCCACGCCCUGCAGCUGCAGCUGGAAGCCGACGAGGAGGAGCUGCGGGCCGAAGCGCCCCUCCCUCCGCUGGCCUGGAGCACGCAUGGCCGCUGCAUGCCGUCUCCGCGGACGGCCACAUAUGGGCCGUGUCCGCGGGCCGCUGCUCCGUCUCCAGUUUCCACCUGGUGGUGCAACGCCUCGUCAUCCACGAGGAGGAAGAGGGCGUAG
rnacentral:rRNA from 1 species